UGUCUCUGUGUUGUGGUCUUC
rnacentral:misc_RNA from 1 species